rnacentral:rRNA from 1 species
GACGAAUGCUGGCGGCGUGCUUAACACAUGCCAGUCGAACGGAUAGGCCCUGCUUUUGUGGGGUGCUCGAGUGGCGAACGGGUGAGUAACACGUGAGUAACCUGCCCUUGACUUUGGGAUAACUUCAGGAAACUGGGGCUAAUACCGGAUAGGAGCUCCUGCUGCAUGGUGGGGGUUGGAAAGUUUCGGCGGUUGGGGAUGGACUCGCGGCUUAUCAGCUUGUUGGUGGGGUAGUGGCUUACCAAGGCUUUGACGGGUAGCCGGCCUGAGAGGGUGACCGGCCACAUUGGGACUGAGAUACGGCCCAGACUCCUACGGGAGGCAGCAGUGGGGAAUAUUGCACAAUGGGCGGAAGCCUGAUGCAGCAACGCCGCGUGCGGGAUGACGGCCUUCGGGUUGUAAACCGCUUUCGCCUGUGACGAAGCGUGAGUGACGGUAAUGGGUAAAGAAGCACCGGCUAACUACGUG